rnacentral:misc_RNA from 1 species
AAAAAAUAAAUAAAUAAAUAAAUUCUAGUGGGACCCUUCAAUGUUUCCUUCUGAAUUGUAGCUAAGAGUGUAAAUUGAUCAUCCAUUAUCUGCUUAAAUCCGGAUGACUAUUAUUAUUCUGGCGUGUGAAGGCACCUUGCAAGGAAGUGUUGUGGGGGGUUGGUUUUGGGCUUUCCAACUCACAGAGUUUUGAACGUACAGUGAGUGGUUAGAAACCAAUGCCAAUUUGAGAUCAAAACACACUCAAUGAAUGCAA